UAAGACGGAGGGGGCUAGCGUUGUUCGGAAUUACUGGGCGUAAAGCGCACGCAGGCGGUCCAUCGAGUCAGGCGUGAAAGCCCUGGGCUCAACCCAGGAAUUGCGCUUGACACUGGUGAACUGGAGUCCGGGAGAGGAUAGCGGAAUUCCCAGUGUAGAGGUGAAAUUCGUAGAUAUUGGGAAGAACACCGGUGGCGAAGGCGGCUAUCUGGACCGGUACUGACGCUGAGGUGCGAAAGCGUGGGGAGCAACAGGAUUAGAUACCCUGGUAGUCCACGCCGUAAACGAUGAGUGCUAGAUGUCGGGGGGCUUUUCCCUUCGGUGUCGCAGCUAACGCAUUAAGCACUCCGCCUGGGGAGUACGGCCGCAAGGCUA
rnacentral:rRNA from 1 species